AGUGAACGCUGGCGGCGUGCUUAACACAUGCAAGUCGAACGAGAACGGAAUAUAGCUUGCUAUAUUUGUCAGCUAAGUGGUGCACGGGUGAGUAAUGUAUAGAUAACCUGCCCUUAAGAAAGGAAUAACAGUUGGAAACGACUGCUAAUGCCCUAUAUGCCUUUAAUACAUAAGUAUGCAAGGGAAACGCUUUAGUGCUUAAGGAUGGGUCUGUAUGGUAUCAGCUUGUUGGUGAGGUAAUGGCUCACCAAGGCUAUGACGCCUAACUGGUUUGAGAGGAUGAUCAGUCACACUGGAACUGAGACACGGUCCAGACUCCUACGGGAGGCGGCAGUGGGGAAUAUUGCACAAUGGACGAAAGUCUGAUGCAGCAACGCCGCGUGGAGGAUGACACAUUUCGGUGCGUAAACUCCUUUUAUAUAGGAAGAUAAUGACGGUACUAUAUGAAUAAGCACCGGCUAGCUCCGUGCCAGCAGCCGCAGUAA
rnacentral:rRNA from 1 species